GACGAACGCUGGCGGCGUGCCUAAUACAUGCAAGUAGAACGCUGAAGAGAAGAGCUUGCUCUUCUUGGAUGAGUUGCGAACGGGUGAGUAACGCGUAGGUAACCUGCCUGGUAGCGGGGGAUAACUAUUGGAAACGAUAGCUAAUACCGCAUAAAAUUGAUUAUUGCAUGAUAAUUAAUUGAAAGAUGCAAUUGCAUCACUACCAGAUGGACCUGCGUUGUAUUAGCUAGUUGGUGAGGUAACGGCUCACCAAGGCGACGAUACAUAGCCGACCUGAGAGGGUGAUCGGCCACACUGGGACUGAGACACGGCCCAGACUCCUACGGGAGGCAGCAGUAGGGAAUCUUCGGCAAUGGGGGGAACCCUGACCGAGCAACGCCGCGUGAGUGAAGAAGGUUUUCGGAUCGUAAAGCUCUGUUGUAAGAGAAGAACGGGUGUGAGAGUGGAAAGUUCACACUGUGACGGUAUCUUACCAGAAAGG
rnacentral:rRNA from 1 species